rnacentral:rRNA from 1 species
GUCGAACGCGAAAGGGGAGCAAUCCCUGAGUAGAGUGGCGAACGGGUGAGUAACACGUGGGUGACCUGCCUUCGAGUGGGGGAUAACGUCCCGAAAGGGACGCUAAUACCGCAUGACAUCCUGCCUUUGAACAGGCGGUGAUUAAAGCUGGGGAUCGCAAGACCUGGCGCUUGAAGAGGGGCCCGCGCCCGAUUAGCUAGUUGGUGGGGUAAUAGCCUACCAAGGCUUCGAUCGGUAGCCGGCCUGAGAGGGCGGACGGCCACACUGGGACUGAGACACGGCCCAGACUCCUACGGGAGGCAGCAGUGGGGAAUUGUUCGCAAUGGGCGCAAGCCUGACGACGCAACGCCGCGUGGAGGACGAAGAUUUUCGGAUCGUAAACUCCUUUCGAUCGGGACGAAUCGUCUCCGACCUAAUACGUCGGGGGACUGACGGUACCGAGAGAAGAAGCCCCGGCUAACUCCGUGCCAGCAGCCGCGGUAAUACNGGGGGGGGCAAGCGUUGUUCGGAAUUACUGGGCGUAAAGGGCGCGUAGGCGGCCUGCUAAGUCGGACGUGAAAUCCCUCGGCUCAACCGGGGAACUGCGUCCGAUACUGGCGAGGCUUGAAUCCGGGAGAGGGAUGUGGAAUUCCAGGUGUAGCGGUGAAAUGCGUAGAUAUCUGGAGGAACCCAAGUGGCGAAGGCGGCAUCCUGGACCGGCAUUGAC